GCCUAACACAUGCAAGUCGAGCGGUAGAGAGAAGCUUGCUUCUCUUGAGAGCGGCGGACGGGUGAGUAAUGCCUAGGAAUCUGCCUGGUAGUGGGGGAUAACGUUCGGAAACGGACGCUAAUACCGCAUACGUCCUACGGGAGAAAGCAGGGGACCUUCGGGCCUUGCGCUAUCAGAUGAGCCUAGGUCGGAUUAGCUAGUUGGUGGGGUAAUGGCUCACCAAGGCGACGAUCCGUAACUGGUCUGAGAGGAUGAUCAGUCACACUGGAACUGAGACACGGUCCAGACUCCUACGGGAGGCAGCAGUGGGGAAUAUUGGACAAUGGGCGAAAGCCUGAUCCAGCCAUGCCGCGUGUGUGAAGAAGGUCUUCGGAUUGUAAAGCACUUUAAGUUGGGAGGAAGGGUUGUAGAUUAAUACUCUGCAAUUUUGACGUUACCGACAGAAUAAGCACCGGCUAACUCUGUGCCAGCAGCCGCGGUAAUACAGAGGGUGCAAGCGUUAAUCGGAAUUACUGGGCGUAAAGCGCGCGUAGGUGGUUUGUUAAGUUGGUUGUGAAAUCCCCGGGCUCAACCUGGGAACUGCAUUCAAAACUGACUGACUAGAGUAUGGUAGAGGGUGGUGGAAUUUCCUGUGUAGCGGUGAAAUGCGUAGAUAUAGGAAGGAACACCAGUGGCGAAGGCGGCCACCUGGACUAAUACUGACACUGGGGUGCGAAAGCGUGGAGAGCAAACAGGAUUAGAUACCCUGGUAGUCCACGCCGUAAACGAUGUCAACUAGCCGUUGGAAGCCUUGAGCUUUUAGUGGCGCAGCUAACGCAUUAAGUUGACCGCCUGGGGAGUACAGCCGCAAGGUUAAAACUCAAAUGAAUUGAC
rnacentral:rRNA from 1 species